CCACAGGUUGAUGUUUUCAGGAAGAAGGCGGUCUUUAUUCUGAGGCCCCAACAGAAAACCAACAGAGGUCAGACCGUGAAGUGGCACCAUGAUGGAAACAUCUCUACAAUAUCUGCUCUUUCCUUGUUUGCUGCUUUGGUGCAAAACAAAUGAAGUCCUCCCAGCUGCUCUGACUGUGAGUCCCAGCAGAUCUCAGUUCUUUGAAGGAGACUCUGUGUCUCUGAGCUGUGAGGAGGACAACAGCUCUGCUGGAUGGACUGUGAGGAGGAACACAAGCAGAGGAACCAGGACUGAGUGUAAAGGAUGGGGAGAAUCUGUUCGUUGUACCAUCUCCUACUUGUUUCCAUCAGACAG